AGCUAGGUGCUGAUCUCCCCGACCACGCGCGGCAGCCUCCGGCGGCGGCUCACCCCCCACGGCUCCUCGCCCUCGGCCUAUCGUCAGAGACCGUGACCUGUCCGGCGAGAGGCCGGAGAGGGAGAGUGCAAUGGUUGCUGCUGGAGAGCAACUAGAAGCAAGGCACAAGGCCUCACAGUGACCUGAGAUUAGAACCAGGUGACGCAAAAUGAUUGAUUCUGAAAAUGAACACUGAAGAAAUA